GAUGAACGCUGGCGGCGUGCCUAAUACAUGCAAGUCGAGCGAACGGACGAGAAGCUUGCUUCUCUGAUGUUAGCGGCGGACGGGUGAGUAACACGUGGAUAACCUACCUAUAAGACUGGGAUAACUUCGGGAAACCGGAGCUAAUACCGGAUGAUAUUUUGAACCGCAUGGUUCAAAAGUGAAAGACGGUCUUGCUGUCACUUAUAGAUGGAUCCGCGCUGCAUUAGCUAGUUGGUAAGGUAACGGCUUACCAAGGCAACGAUGCAUAGCCGACCUGAGAGGGUGAUAGGCCACACUGGAACUGAGACACGGUCCAGACUCCUACGGGAGGCAGCAGUAGGGAAUCUUCCGCAAUGGGCGAAAGCCUGACGGAGCAACGCCGCGGGAGUGAUGAAGGUCUUCGGAUCGUAAAACUCUGUUAUUAGGGAAGAACAUAUGUGUAAGUAACUGUGCACAUCUUGACGGUACCUAAUCAGAAAGCCACGGCUAACUACGU
rnacentral:rRNA from 1 species